rnacentral:rRNA from 1 species
UACGGAGGGUGCGAGCGUUGUCCGGAAUCACUGGGCUUAAAGCGUGUGUAGGCGGAUUUGUAAGUACCUUGUGAAAUCCCACGGCUCAACCGUGGAACUGCUCGGUAUACUGCUUAUCUUGAGCCACUUAGGGGCUACCGGAACAAAUGGUGGAGCGGUGAAAUGCGUAGAUAUCAUUUGGAACGCCAAUGGUGAAAACAGGUAGCUGGGAGUGUGCUGACGCUGAGACACGAAAGCCAGGGGAGCGAACGGG